rnacentral:lncRNA from 1 species
UAGUGAUGACGAGUCGUCGUAGUUGCUGUAGAGGGAAUGGAUAGGGUAAGCAUUUUGUUUUCUAGUUAGCAAAAUGUAUGAAUGCAUGACUGUAUAGAUGCAUGUAAGUAAAAAGAAAAAUAUUUCUAGGGUGUCAGUGUGCAUAUAUAGUCAUACAAUGAGUAGGAGUAAGACAUCAAAAGUAUUUCAACAAAAUAAACUCCUGAUGGGUAAAAUGGUCAUUUCACAAGGAUUAUUUCAAUUAGGAACACAAAAUUAAUUCUAACUAGAAAAUAUAAUUAGAAUCUAAAAUUGAUUAAAUCUUAAAAUCUAAAUUAACCUAAUGUUAGGAAUUAAUUAAAUUCCAACAUCCAUUAAAAUUUGAAUCCUAAUUUUAAUCUAAUUAAACAUUCUAUACUAAUCUCCUAAAUUCUAAUCAAAUUCUAAAAACUAAUUAAUCCAUCAAGUUUCAAAAAACCUAAUUACUAAAUAUAAUUUAAAGUCCUAAUCACUAAUUUAAAAACCCUAAUUAGAAGCCCAAAUCUCUAAUUACUAACUGCAAACCCCUAAUUGCUAAUCAACCUAAUAAAGUCAAGAAUCUGGCCCAACUACUGGAUAUGGGCUCUCAGGAAGCGUAAAAGGGGUCUAGGCCCAGUGGUCUGGAUGCUGGAACAUGUUUUGGUCAGAAAAUGGGCCUUAGGCCCAAGAAGCAAACAAAAAUCCAAGGCGUUGGAGGAACGGAGGGGUGCAUGGACCCGUUGGAGGAUGACGCCACUGAAGGUUGGUUGAGCCUAAUAGAUGUUAUUACCCUAAACGAAAAAACUCUCCCUUGACAAAAAAAUCCAAAACGGACCUUCAAUAAUUGAAAUUGAAUGACCUUUUGUUACACGCUCACUACCCACCGUCUCCGAUCAGAUGACCAUCGCGGGCCACCGCACCGAAAACCGCUUUCGGCGGCGGUGGCCACCAAGACACAAACCAGAUAUCACAUUAAGAUCGUCUCCACCUCCUUAAACCUAAUCUUCUCUCAAUUCCAAACAAAAAUUUGAUCUAACAUCCCAAUUCGUAUUAAAGAUCUCAAGAACCCUAGAGGUUCAAUCGCGAAUUACAUAGUGAGGCUCAAGACUCAGCGCCCUAACUGUUAGGGCUUUGAGUCGUCCUUAAAUAAGCUACAAGAUGACAACAUGGUUGCAGUUAAAGAGUGAGUGGGAACCUACCUCUGAAGUUGAGGAUCACUCCGACAAAAAGUUGAAUCGGAGAAGACGAAAUAGGUGACGAAAAAUCACUUGAUUAGCAAGUACGAACUCGUAUAUCUCUUCUUCUGCUUUCACUUCUUCUUUAAAUCAAUUCUUCUUCGUCUAAAUCUCUAUGGUGAGAUUGAGCUGAGAAGGAUUC